GACAGAGGGUGCAAACGUUGUUCGGAAUUACUGGGCGUAAAGCGCGUGUAGGCGGCCCUGCAAGUCGGGCGUGAAAUCCCACGGCUCAACCGUGGAAGUGCACUCGAAACUGCAGGGCUAGAGUCCUGGAGAGGAAGGUGGAAUGCUUGGUGUAGAGGUGAAAUUCGUAGAUAUCAAGCGGAACACCGGUGGCGAAGGCGGCCUUCUGGACAGUGACUGACGCUGAGACGCGAAAGCGUGGGGAGCAAACAGG
rnacentral:rRNA from 1 species